rnacentral:rRNA from 1 species
GAACUCCUACGGGGUGCAGCAGUGGGGGAUAUUGCACAAUGGGGGAAACCCUAAUGCAGCGACGCCGCGUGUGGGAAGACGGUCUUCUGGAUUGUAAACCACUGUCCCCAGGGACGAAAAUGACGGUACCUGGGGAGGAAGCUCCGGCUAACUACAUGCCAGCAGCCGCGGUAAUACGUAGGGAGCAAGCGUUGUCCGGAAUUACUGGGUGUAAAGGGAGCGUAGGCGGGGAUGCAAGUUGGGUGUCAAAACUACCGGCUCAAACGAUAGUCGCACUCAAAACUGC